GAUGAACGCUGGCGGCGUGCCUAAUACAUGCAAGUCGAGCGAACAGACGAGGAGCUUGCUCCUCUGACGUUAGCGGCGGACGGGAGAGUAACACGUGGAUAACCUACCUAUAAGACUGGGAUAACUUCGGGAAACCGGCGCUAAUACCGGAUAAUAUAUUGAAGCGCAUGGUUCAAUAGUAAAAGACGGCUUUGCUGUCACUAAUAGAUGGAUCCUCGCCGGAUUAGCUAGUUGGUAAGGUAACAGCUUACCAAGGCAACCAUGCGUGUCCGACCUCAUAGGGUGGUCGCCGGCACUGGAACUGAGCCACGGUCCAGACUCCUGCGGGAGGCACCAGUAGGGUAUCUUCCGCAGUGGUCGGAAGCUUGACGGAGCGACGCCGAGUGAGUGGUGAAGAUCUUCGGAUCGUAAUACUCUCUUAUUAGUGAAGAACAGAUGUGUAAUUAACUAUGCACGUCUUGACGGUACCUGAUCAGAAAGCCCCGGCUAACUACGUG
rnacentral:rRNA from 1 species